rfam:Asian citrus Psyllid, Diaphorina citri - Florida Strain, whole genome shotgun sequence.
GCCUCGGUGGUGUAGUGGUCAAGACGCUCGCCUGGUAAACAGGAGGGCGUGGGUUGGAUCCCAGCCGAGGCA